AAGCUUUGAUUUUUUGGGAACUCAAAUGGCCAUUUGUAUCAGUGUUUAGAGUUUGUCUUGCCUUUAAGAAGGAUUAGGGGAAGACGACGUUGACUGAACGAGUUCUGUUUUACACUGGACGAAUUACCAUUCAGUGAUGCUACUUACUGCAGCUGGAAGGGGUAUCAGGUUUGAAAAAUUAUGGCUGAAGGAGAGGAAGACAUGCCCAGGGAUGCAAAGAUUGUGAAGUCAUUAUUAAAAUCUAUGGGUGUUGAGGAGCAUGAGCCCCGCGUUGUGCACCAGUUUCUGGAGCUAUGGUACAGAUAUGUCGUCGAUGUCUUGACGGAUGCACAAGGUUACUCAGAACAUGCAGGCAAAGGCACAAUUGACUGUGAUGAUAUUAAGCUUGCUAUCCAAUCAAAAGUGAAUUUCAGAUUCUCACAACCGCCACCUCGGGAGGAUUGAACGAUCCUGAAGAGAAGAUGAGAUUACUUCAGUUAGAGCAAGAGGAGGCUGCGAGAAUGGAGAGGGAGCGGCUAAAGGUUAAGGAGCGAGAAAGGUAGUUUCUGCAAGCGUUGGAGAUGGAGAAGAAGAGGAAGAACAACGCAAAUUCGAAGAAGAAGAAUCUUAGAGAAGGCUGGCUAGGGUUGAUUCUCAAGAGAUUCACUUUCUACCUUUCAACCCCACCGACAAAAGAACAUCAUGAUAAGGAUGGUAAAAUGCAUAAGGUCAGCAAAGGUGCUCCAGAACAGGUUUACAUGGCUGCAACUGAUACGGCUCUUCCCAUGGGUUAGAACUAAAGCUACAAGCUAGAAAGAUAGGGUGAAUGAUGGAAGAUUGGUGUGCUACGAAAAGCGGAGUUUUUGGGUUCACUCCCUCUACUCUAUGCGAUAUGUAUGUGAUUUCAUUCCUGCCCCCAAAAACAGAGGUUAAAAGAUUACUACAUAUUUAAUAAGCAUCAAAUCUACCGGGAGGGUCUGGACAUAAGUCUUCAAACUCCUAGGGUCCAAGCUCUUAACUGAGAAGAACCUUCAAAAUGACGUGCGAAAAAGUGGUAUUUAGAACAAUUAUGGAAAAAUAUAAUCAUGUAAUUGAUGUACUCAUUCAAUUUGUUUAUUGAGUUUUAUUUUAUUGCAGACACGUAGCAUAAUUUACUA